rnacentral:rRNA from 1 species
UUUAUUGAAACUUCGGUCGAUUUAAUUUAAUUCUAGUGGCGGACGGGUGAGUAACGCGUGGGUAACCUGCCUUAUACAGGGGGAUAACAGUCAGAAAUGGCUGCUAAUACCGCAUAAGCGCACAGAGCUGCAUGGCUCAGUGUGAAAAACUCCGGUGGUAUAAGAUGGACCCGCGUUGGAUUAGCUAGUUGGUGGGGUAACGGCCCACCAAGGCGACGAUCCAUAGCCGGCCUGAGAGGGUGAACGGCCACAUUGGGACUGAGACACGGCCCAGACUCCUACGGGAGGCAGCAGUGGGGAAUAUUGCACAAUGGGGGAAACCCUGAUGCAGCGACGCCGCGUGAAGGAAGAAGUAUCUCGGUAUGUAAACUUCUAUCAGCAGGGAAGAUAGUGACGGUACCUGACUAAGAAGCCCCGGCUAACUACGUGCCAGCAGCCGCGGUAAUACGUAGGGGGCAAGCGUUAUCCGGAUUUACUGGGUGUAAAGGGAGCGUAGACGGUGUGGCAAGUCUGAUGUGAAAGGCAUGGGCUCAACCUGUGGACUGCAUUGGAAACUGUCAUACUUGAGUGCCGGAGGGGUAAGCGGAAUUCCUAGUGUAGCGGUGAAAUGCGUAGAUAUUAGGAGGAACACCAGUGGCGAAGGCGGCUUACUGGACGGU